AUAAAUGUUCAGUCAAGUUUAAAUAAAACUGUCUAGUACCCCAAAGAAGUGAAAAUAUUUGAGGCCCAUUAAAAUGAAGUAUAAUGUCAUCUGGAUAUUUCUCUAUGCUUAUUUCUAUCCACAGAAAGUAUUUUGAGCUCUGUCAUCUAAAGCAAAGAUAGUAAAUACAUGGCCCAGGAUAAGCCCAGGACAAAUUCCAGUCCUCAAUCACAGUAUGUUUUCGUGCUGAUCCUGGAUUGUGCCUCAGAAUCAUUCUCAGUACCGUGUUCCGGGUAGCUCCUCCCAACAGACUGGUUGAUGUCAGCUGUUUUGCUGGAAUUCAGGAUGUGAAAAAUAUCUUAAGCAACUCUUAAACAAAAUCGUUAUGAUUCUAAUGCCAGAAAUCCCAUCUGUAGGAACAACAGAGAUGCAAAUGACUGACCCCACUGGAACUCAUGACUCAUGACUCAACCGAUCCUGUGGCCCCACCUAGAGGUGAACUCUACAUGAGGACUGUUUUGCACACUCCUAUGAUUUCAUCCCCAACCAAUCAGCAACACCCAUUCCUGAGCCCCUGCCCACCAAGUUGUCCAUAAA